UCUGUUGACCCAAUGAAACUUUCAAUACUGAGUUUGAGCCAUAUUUAUGUUAUGAAGAAAGACCAAACCCUAACUUCAUGGACUCAGGGUACAAAUGAAGCAGGGAAAUGAACUGAAGUUUAGAGAAGUUAAGCCAUGGUGGUCAAUCACGCACGCUUCACACUGGAGUUGAAUUCAGGAACCAAAACUUUCUAGCGGUAGGACUUGGAUGAGGAAACCGAGGCACUGAGGCGACAGAGAGGUUCAGUCACUUGCUCAAGAUCACAUAGAUAGUAAGUACUGAAACUAGUUGCAUGCUUACCUUAUUAAUUUUUAUACUUUCUUCUUUACUAGUAUGUAUUUAAGGUGGCAAAUACUGUUUCAGAUGCAUUCUACCCAACAUAGUAUAUAAUAUUUCCACUCUUUCCAGUUGAAAAUAUUUAUUUUCCUUAUGACUUUUUUAUCCCUUUGAUUAUUUGGAAGUAUAUGUCGAUUUUGAAAUAUAUGGAGUUUU